ACUUAAAUUGAAGAGUUUGAUCAUGGCUCAGAUUGAACGCUGGCGGCAGGCCUAACACAUGCAAGUCGGACGGUAGCACAGAGAGCUUGCUCUUGGGUGACGAGUGGCGGACGGGUGAGUAAUGUCUGGGGAUCUGCCCGAUAGAGGGGGAUAACCACUGGAAACGGUGGCUAAUACCGCAUAACGUCGCAAGACCAAAGAGGGGGACCUUCGGGCCUCUCACUAUCGGAUGAACCCAGAUGGGAUUAGCUAGUAGGCGGGGUAAUGGCCCACCUAGGCGACGAUCCCUAGCUGGUCUGAGAGGAUGACCAGCCACACUGGAACUGAGACACGGUCCAGACUCCUACGGGAGGCAGCAGUGGGGAAUAUUGCACAAUGGGCGCAAGCCUGAUGCAGCCAUGCCGCGUGUAUGAAGAAGGCCUUCGGGUUGUAAAGUACUUUCAGCGGGGAGGAAGGCGACGGGGUUAAUAACCCUGUCGAUUGACGUUACCCGCAGAAGAAGCACCGGCUAACUCCGUGCCAGCAGCCGCGGUAAUACGGAGGGUGCAAGCGUUAAUCGGAAUUACUGGGCGUAAAGCGCACGCAGGCGGUCUGUUAAGUCA
rnacentral:rRNA from 1 species